GGUGUCGGACUUCACUUUGAGCA
rnacentral:siRNA from 1 species